GAUGAACGCUGGCGGCGUGCCUAAUACAUGCGAGUCGAGCGAACAGACGAGGAGCUUGCUCCUCUGACGUUAGCGGCGGACGGGUGAGUAACACGUGGAUAACCUACCUAUAAGACUGGGAUAACUUCGGGAAACCGGAGCUAAUACCGGAUAAUAUAUUGAACCGCAUGGUUCAAUAGUGAAAGACGGUUUUGCUGUCACUUAUAGAUGGAUCCGCGCCGCAUUAGCUAGUUGGUAAGGUAACGGCUUACCAAGGCAACGAUGCGUAGCCGACCUGAGAGGGUGAUCAGCCACACUGGAACUGAGACACGGUCCAGACUCCUACGGGAGGCAGCAGUAGGGAAUCUUCCGCAAUGGGCGAAAGCUUGACGGAGCAACGCCGCGUGAGUGAUGAAGGUCUUCGGAUCGUAAAACUCUGUUAUUAGGGAAGAACAAAUGUGUAAGUAACUAUGCACGUCUUGACGGUACCUAAUCAGAAAGCCACGGCUAACUACGUG
rnacentral:rRNA from 1 species